AUACGGAGGGUGCAAGCGUUACUCGGAAUCACUGGGCGUAAAGCGCGCGCAGGCGGCCAUUUAAGUUGGAUGUGAAAGCCUACGGCUCAACCGUAGAACUGCAUCCAAAACUAUUUGGCUAGAGUGUGGGAGAGGAAGAUGGAAUUAGUUGUGUAGGGGUAUAAUCCGUAGAGAUAACUAGGAAUACCAAAAGCGAAGGCAAUCUUCUGGAACACUACUGACGCUGAGGCGCGAAAGCGUGGGGAGCAAACGGGAUUAGAAACCCCAGUAGUCC
rnacentral:rRNA from 1 species